CCUACGGGGGGCAGCAGUGAGGAAUAUUGGUCAAUGGGCGCGAGCCUGAACCAGCCAAGUAGCGUGAAGGAUGACUGCCCUACGGGUUGUAAACUUCUUUUAUAAAGGAAUAAAGUGAGGCACGUGUGCCUUUUUGUAUGUACUUUAUGAAUAAGGAUCGGCUAACUCCGUGCCAGCAGCCGCGGUAAUACGGAGGAUCCGAGCGUUAUCCGGAUUUAUUGGGUUUAAAGGGAGCGUAGAUGGGUUGUUAAGUCAGUUGUGAAAGUUUGCGGCUCAACCCAUAGCCUGCAUUUGAAACUGUAUUU
rnacentral:rRNA from 1 species